AGUGAAUUAGCGGCGAACGGGUGAGGAACACGUGAGGAAUCUGCCUUCAACACUGGGAUAACUCCGGGAAACCGGGGCUAAUACCGGAUACGAGCUCUGAUCGCAUGAUCGGGGCUGGAAAGUUUUUCGGUUGAAGAUGACCUCGCGGCCUAUCAGCUUGUUGGUGAGGUAAUGGCUCACCAAGGCGACGACGGGUAGCCGGCCUGAGAGGGCGACCGGCCACACUGGGACUGAGACACGGCCCAGACUCCUACGGGAGGCAGCAGUAGGGAAUCUUCCGCAAUGGACGAAAGUCUGACGGAGCAACGCCGCGUGAGUGACGAAGGUUUUCGGAUCGUAAAACUCUGUUGUGAGGGAAGAACACGUACCAGCUAACUACUGGUACCUUGACGGUACCUCACCAGAAAGCCACGGCUAACUACGUGCCAGCAGCCGCGGUAAUACGUAGGUGGCAAGCGUUGUCCGGAAUUAUUGGGCGUAAAGCGCGCGCAGGCGGUCCUUUAAGUCUGAUGUGAAAGCCCACGGCUCAACCGUGGA
rnacentral:rRNA from 1 species